rnacentral:rRNA from 1 species
UACAGAGGUCUCAAGCGUUAAUCGGAAUUACUGGGCUUAAAGGGUCCGCAGGCGGACCAGCAAGUACCUUGUGAAAUCUCAGGUCUCAACCCUGAGUCUGCUGGGUAGACUGCUGGUCUUGAGUGCAAAAGGGGUCGCUGGAACUCUAGGUGGAGCGGUGAAAUGCGUAGAUAUCUAGAGGAACGCCAAAGGUGAAGACAGGCGACUGGUUUGCAACUGACGCUCAUGGACGAAAGCGUGGGAAUCAAACGGG